UGGGGAAUAUUGGACAAUGGGCGAAAGCCUGAUCCAGCAAUGCCGCGUGAGUGAUGAAGGCCUUAGGGUCGUAAAGCUCUUUUACCCGGGAUGAUAAUGACAGUACCGGGAGAAUAAGCUCCGGCUAACUCCGUGCCAGCAGCCGCGGUAAUACGGAGGGAGCUAGCGUUGUUCGGAAUUACUGGGCGUAAAGCGUACGUAGGCGGUUAUUCAAGUCAGAGGUGAAAGCCCGGGGCUCAACCCCGGAACUGCCUUUGAAACUAGAUAGCUAGAAUCUUGGAGAGGUCAGUGGAAUUCCGAGUGUAGAGGUGAAAUUCGUAGAUAUUCGGAAGAACACCAGUGGCGAAGGCGACUGACUGGACAAGUAUUGACGCUGAGGUACGAAAGCGUGGGGAGCAAACAGGAUUAGAUACCCUCGUAGUCCCUGAG
rnacentral:rRNA from 1 species